UUGCCCUGUUUGUGUCUCUGCCUUGCGUGUUUGUUCCUUUCCUUGCAGGUGGAGCAGGUGGAGCGACGUCAGAAGGGCAGGUGAUCGGCGGAGUUGGUGGCGGUGGCAGAGGGCAAGUGGACUAGGUGCGGCGGCUAGGGUUAGGGGUUAGGUCUAAUUAGUGUUUUGGGCUAUUUGGGCUGUGGGUUAGUUUGGGCUGUUAAUUAGGGUAAUGGGCUGGUUCAAAUUUGUUGUUUUGGACUUUAUGGACUGUAAUUUGGACUUUUAUUUUGUGUUUAAUUGGGCCUCGGGCAAAAUGGCCUGUAACA
rnacentral:lncRNA from 1 species